AGGAAUUAGAAGAUGCAGACACACCUGAUGAAAAAGUAAAAACUGCUGGAGAAGAGAAUUUGAAUCUCAGAAUAAAAGAGCUGGAAAAGUCAGAGCAAAAACUGAAAGGUGUUCUAGAGGACUACGUGGAGUCAGAUUCCAUCCUAAGAAAUAGGAUGAAAGAGCUGGAGCUGUCACAGAAAACACUUCUUGUGAAGAUUGAUCAACUUUAUGUGAAGCUGGACCAGGUUGAAAAUGCCAAUCUGCGUAUUAAAGGGAAACUGCAAAGCAUUCAGGAGGACCUGAUCCAUUUGGUUGAAAACCAAAAGAAGUCAGAGAAGAAGCACAAGGAAAAAUUGCAUUGGCUCCAGGAGCAGCUGAAGACAAAAGAGGAUGAAAUAAAAAGCCAGUCAGAAUAUUUUGAGCACUACAAACAAAGGCAGAGGCAACAGACAGCAGUACUGAGGAAAAGGGACUGUUACCUUCAGGGUGAGGUAUCCAGG
rnacentral:lncRNA from 1 species